CUCCAAUCUUUUUUUGUUUGAUGUUGAGCUUAAGUUGUCUCAUGCUCUGUAGUUGAGGUUUCUCAUCAUGCAUGGUCGCGAAGAUAUUCUGUUUUGCUAACUCCGUUUUAUGUUUUAUCCCGGUGUCGAGAAAGGGUUACCAGUUUAGUGUUUCUAGAAUUACCUUUAUCUUAUUGCUCUUUGGCAAUGGUAUUUCAUUUGCUUACAUGUGUAAUCCUACAGUACCAUUACUGCUAUUUUAACUUUUUUGUCAACAAGAAGAAUUAGAUAUAACUUAUAGUUUUUUAGAAUGAGUAGAUAUUUUUCCAUGUGAUAUCUUUUCUCAAUUAGUAGUUAACCCGUUAUGGAGCAUUGACUACAAAUUGUUGUUUAGAUGACUUUAUUUUAUUUUUUUACUCUCAAGUUGUUCGAGGGACGAGGGGAUAAAAUACAGUAAACAACUAUAUGAAUGGUGGAAUAAUAUGAAUGACAGCUAUCUAAUGUAACAAUUUCUUAAGAGCACGAUUCUGGUCGUGCUACAAUUACUAAUGUUAUUUGGUCAAGAGUUAUCAUUAGCAAAAAUAUUUCUUUCUAUUUCUUUGUCUAGACAAUCUAUUUGAACACUAAGGUAUACAUGAUUAAUAUCAUCGAUUAUUUCUUCUUUUUAUUUGAUAUUUAGGUCAGUAGAAAUGUGUAUCUGUACAAUCCUUCUAAUGUGUUUCUCAAUCUAAUGAUGAUUAAAUACAUUACUUUGAUAUCCGAUCUCCAUGCUAGCCUCUCCAUUUUCAUUGUAUAAAUGAAAUUUAAUUUUUCUGUUUUAAUCCUUACAAGAACACAAUGUCAAUGUGUUUUUUAUUUUAACUAUAUAGAAGCGUGGGUUAGGAGAAUGGAUUGACAUGGUGCCUUAUGUGUCAAUAAAAUUACAAUCAAGGGCAAUUUAGAGAUUCAAGGCAGGCUUAUUUAGGUUAGUUUACGUGUCAACAACCCUCCAGCUGUCACUUUCUUCUCACAGAACUCAUCUGUGUGCCGACUGCCUCUCCGAUGUUCAAAAACCCGAACACCACACUCCUUUUCACCUCACACACUCCCAUUCCACCUUCCCACAAAGGCGUUCGAGGUGUUCACAAAAUCCGGCAAAACGGAGAAGCCAGGUUUGUCUCAAAGGGUACCAAAGGAGAUUCCAACCAUUGAUAUUCCUCUCAGGUUUGUUGGAGAGAUUGCACAAGAAAUGUGUUUUUUAUUUUAACUAUAUAGAAGCGUGGGUUAGGAGAAUGGAUUGACAUGGUGCCUUAUGUGUCAAUAAAAUUACAAUCAAGGGCAAUUUAGAGAUUCAAGGCAGGCUUAUUUAGGUUAGAUUACGUGUCAACAACCCUCCAGCUGUCACUUUCUUCUCACAGAACUCAUCUCUGUGCCGACUGCCUCUCCGAUGUUCAAAAACCCGAACACCACACUCCUUUUCACCUCACACACUCCCAUUCCACCUUCCCACAAAGGCGUUCGAGGCGUUCACAAAAUCCGGCAAAACGGAGAAGCCAGGUUUGUCUCAAAGAGCACCAAAGGAGAUUCCAACCAUUGAUAUUCCUCUCAGGUUUGUUGGAGAGAUUGCACAAGAUAUUACACAUGUUGGAUAGGAUAAAUAAAGCUUAUGUGGAUGAGAACCAUAAGCCACGGUGGCCUCUGCUGCCUCACUCACUUUUGGUAAUUUUUGAACCAAAUUAAACAUCAAACUGCUAUCUUUUUGCAAAAUUGCACUGCCUGUUUUGAAAGCUGGAUUCCCGAAGAACAAAGAAUAUAUGCUAACGCACAAUACUUUAACAAGGUAUGUCACACAACUAACUUAACUCUACUGCUGCUACACGCUCUACUCCCUCCAUUACACACUUCUAUUUUAACAAGAAAGCCAUCGUUAAUAGCCUCUCCAGGUAUUUUGUCAACCACGCAUCACACAGCUACAACGUUAACUGCGAAGAACAAGAUGACUGCCAGCGGCAUAGUCGGUAGUUGUGUUACUAUAUUGCCUUUUGCUGCUACCGGCUUCUAUCAAUAUAUAACUAAUGUGUGUAUGCAUAGACAUGCAAUCAUCAAUGUAUAUAAACAUUAUGUUUUAGUUGUGCAAUACCUUCUUCUGUCAAACUGUUAAUAA